rnacentral:rRNA from 1 species
UACAGAGGGGGCAAGCGUUGUUCGGAAUUACUGGGCGUAAAGGGCGCGUAGGCGGCCUUCUAAGUCGAACGUGAAAUCCCUGGGCUCAACCCAGGAACUGCGUCCGAUACUGGAAGGCUUGAAUCCGGGAGAGGGAUGCGGAAUUCCAGGUGUAGCGGUGAAAUGCGUAGAUAUCUGGAGGAACACCAAUGGCGAAGGCAGCACUCUGGGACGUGACUGACGCUGAGACGCGAAAGCGUGGGGAGCAAACAGG